CACAGCUGACGGAUCACUGACGUCUCUGAGCUGCAGUGCAGCUCUUCACCAGCAGAACCAAUGAGAAUCAGCGCUCACAGGAGGAGGAAGCCAGAGGAGGGUUUGACCUUAAACCUGCUAAGCAGGAAGAGAAAGUAUUCAAACUCAUGCUGUUGCUGAGAGGAGAAAAUGGCAAAGAGAGGAGCUCAGCUGGACUCAGAAAACUUCUCUUGUUCCAUCUGUCUGGAUCUCUUGAAGGAUCCGGUGGCGGUUCCCUGUGGACACAGCUACUGCAGCAACUGUAUUAAAGGACACUGGGAUCAACAGGACGACAGGGGAUUCUACAGCUGUCCUCAGUGCAGGAAGAGGUUCAGACAGAGACCUGACCUGGAGAAGAACUUCCUGUUAGCAGAGCUAGCGGAGGAUCUGAAGAAGACUGAACUCCAAGCUGCUGCAGUUGAUCUCUGCUCUGCUGGACCUGAAGAUGUGUCCUGUGAUGUUUGCUCUGGGAGGAAGCUGAAAGCCGUCAAGUCCUGUCUGGUCUGUUUGGUCUCUUACUGUGAGGAACACCUCCAACCUCACCAUCAAUCUGCUGCUUUUAAGAAACACCAGCUGGUGGAGCCCUCCAAGAAGCUCCAGGAGAAGAUGUGCUCUCUUCACGAUGAGGUGAUGAAGAUUUUCUGUUUCACUGAUCAGCAGAGUAUCUGUUACCUCUGCACCAUGGACCAACACAGAGGCCAUGAAACAGUCCCAGCUGCAGCAGAGAGGAGACAGAAGCAGAAGGAGCUGGAGGAGAGUCGACUAAACAUCCAGCAGAGAAUCCAGGAGCGAGAGAAAAACAUGGAGCUGCUUCAGCAGCAGAUGGAGGCAAUCAAUGUCUCUGCUGAUGAAGCCAGAUCUCAGAUGAUCCAUCUCAUCCAGAAGAGGACUGGUGAGGUGAAACAGCUGCUCAGGUCCCAGCAGCAAACUGCAGUGAGUAGACUCAAGGAGCUUCAGAAGAAGCUGCAGCAGGAGAUCAGUGAGCUGAAGAGGAAAGACGUCCAGCUGGAGCAGCUGGCUCACACAGAGGACCACACCCAGUUUCUGAUCAGCUACCCCUCAGUGUCAGCACUCAGUGAGCCCACACACUCCUACAGCAUCCUGACUGCUCCUGUCAGAUACUUUGAGGAUGUGGCAGCAGCUGUGUCAGAGAGCAGAGACAAACUGGAGGACAUCCCGAGAGAGACUGAAGAGGAGCUUUUUCUGCCACAACCAGAGACCAGAACAGAGUUCUUACAAUAUUCAAAGCAGAUCACACUGGAUCCAAACUCUGCACACAGAAGGCUGAUAUUAUGUGAUGGGAACAGAAAAGUAAGUUUCAUAUUAGAAAAUCAGCUUUUAUCUGAUCAUCCAGAGAGAUUUACUGGAUGUGUUCAGGUUCUGAGCAGAGAGAGUCUGACUGGACGUUGUUACUGGGAGGUGGAGUGGCGAGGAAGAGAAGGAGUUUAUGUAGCAGUCACAUACAAGAACAUCAGCAGAGCAGGGUGGGGAAGUAAGUGUGGAUUUGGAUUUAAUGACAAAUCUUGGGCUUUAUGUUGCUAUUCUGACAGCUUUAUAUUUUGGCACAACAACACACCUACUCCCCUCUCAGGUCCUCGGUCCUCCAGAGUGGGAGUGUACCUGGAUCACACAGCAGGGAUUCUGUCUUUCUACAGCAUCUCUGGAACCAUGACUCUCCUCCACAGAGUCCAGACCGCCUUCACUCAGCCACUACACGCUGGAGUUUGGCUUCAUCCUGAUGACGGAGACUCUGCAGAGUUCCUGAAACCUCAGUAGAGGACUUUCAUCAGAUCUCUAAUUGUAGUUUCCUAGUUCCUAUUUCCUGUAGUUUCCUCAUGUGCUUCACAGAGAUGUGGUUGAAGAGACUUUUAUCGGACUCUGCGGUGUCUCUGGGCGGAUUCACACGAGCGCGUGCAGACCGGAGCGCCGCGGAGACCAAUGCAGCGGCAGCGUGUGAGCAGCUCCAGAGCACCGUCAGCCAGAUCCAGACCCGCCACCCCCCGGCCUGGCUGAUGAUCAGCGGAGACUUAAAUCACGCUUAACUCUCCGCAUCCAACAUCGGGGUGGAAGACGCCGUCAUCUACCUGCUGCAGCGGACACUCACCCACCUGGAGACUGUCAGAAGCACUGUGAGGGGCAUGUUCUUCCACUUCUCCAGUGCCUUCAACAACAUCAGGCCGACGCUGCUGUGGGGGAAGCUGACGGACGGGGGAGUGGACGGACACCUCGCUGCCUGGACCAUGGACUACCUCACUGACCGUCCACAGUACAGGCGGCUGUGAGUCCGAGGUGGUGGUCUGCAGCACGGGGGCGCCCCAGGGCACCGUCCUCUCUCCUUUCCUCUUCACCAUCUACACCUCAGACUUCACCUACAAUACGAACAGCUGCCAUCUCCAGAUAUUCUCCGAUGACCCCGCCAUUGUGGGCUGUGUGUCGGAGGGGAACCAGAUGGAGUGCCGGUCGGUCGCCAUUGACUUUGAGGACUGGUGUGAGCGCAGCCACCUGUGCUUGAACACCAGUAAGACGAAGGAGAUGGUGAUCGACUUCAGAAGGAGGACACUUCCACACCCACCGGUGAACAUCCAGGGGGAGGAUAUGAGACAGUGGACAGUUUCAAGUCCCUGGGUGUUCACCUCAACAAUAAACUGGACUGGCCCCACAACACCAACGCUCUGGACAAGAAGGGCCAGAGAGUCUCCACCUUCUGAGGAGACUGAGUUCCUUGGGAGUGUGCAGACCUCUGCUCAUGACCUUUUAUGACUCUGUGGUUCCUCUAGUGUCCACUACGCCGCCGUCUGCUGGGCCCAGGGCAGCACAGAGCGGGACAGGAAGAGACUCGACCGACUGGUCAGGAGGGCCAGCUUUGUCCUGGGCUGUCCACUGGACUCUCUGGAGGAUGUGACUGAGAGGAGGAUGCUGGCCAAGCUCACAUCCAUUAUGGACAACAGCUCUCACCCACAGCCUCCCUCAGUGCAGGAGAGAGCGCUGCCCCAGGUCCUUCAUCCCCACCGCUGUCAGACUGUACAACUUUACUGUGUCUAAUAUGAGCAAUAACCUUGGACAUUAUAAUAUCUGUAACCAUGGUCACGUUAACCCUAUUAGAAAUUUGAUGUCACUUUAUAAUCCAUUCACUCUGCUACACUAAAAACAUAUUGUGCAUAUUUGUAUAUAUUAUAGUUCCUGUUAUAUUUUAAGAUUUAUGUUGUACAUACAGUUAGAUCCUCCUGCUUUGAGUUUUUCUAUUAUCAAUCUUUACUACGAUUUGCACUAUUACUUGUUCUUUAUUUGAACCUUUCAUUACUUUUUGCUCCCCCCUGUGUCUUCUACGAGCCUCUUGCACCUGUA